GAUGAACGCUGGCGGCGUGCCUAAUACAUGCAAGUCGAGCGAACAGACGAGGAGCUUGCUCCUCUGACGUUAGCGGCGGACGGGUGAGUAACACGUGGAUAACCUACCUAUAAGACUGGGAUAACUUCGGGAAACCGGAGCUAAUACCGGAUAAUAUAUUGAACCGCAUGGUUCAAUAGUGAAAGACGGUUUUGCUGUCACUUAUAGAUGGAUCCGCGCCGCAUUAGCUAGUUGGUAAGGUAACGGCUUACCAAGGCAACGAUGCGUAGCCGACCUGAGAGGGUGAUCGGCCACACUGGAACGGAGACACGGUCCAGACUCCUACGGGAGGCAGCAGUAGGGAAUCUUCCGCAAUGGGCGAAAGCUUGACGGAGCAACGCCGCGUGAGUGAUGAAGGUCUUCGGAUCGUAAAACUCUGUUAUUAGGGAAGAACAAAUGUGUAAGUAACUAUGCACGUCUUGACGGUACCUAAUCAGAAAGCCACGGCUAACUACGUG
rnacentral:rRNA from 1 species